AUUCCAUGGUGAGGGCACCCUUGAAGGAGGUCCUUAAAUCUCUCCAUAAAUUUGGAGAACGACUCAGUAGGUUUCUUCUAAAAUUGAAGAAUAUCACUCUUGAGUUU